UUUAAUAUAUGUAAGUUACAGAAUGGUAGAUAUUUGUGGUAUUAAUCAACAUAUCCUAUAUGUCUAGAAUAGUACCUGGCACAUAAUAGGCAUUCAGAAAUGUUUGUUUAGUGAAUGUUUAAUAAGUACUAAAAGAAAACAUUAGCAGUGAGUUAAUACAAUUCUCUUCAUAUAUAAUUAACAACUUGGUUUCAAAAUAUAAAUGAACACACAUUAUGUUUACAAGGUAUGUGUGCACACACACACAUGAAAUUUUAGCAAAAUAAAAAAAAAAACAAGGCAAACAAUUUGUGAGAAAUUGUGAACCUUGUAAUGAAAUCCUCACUACCAUCUGCCAGACUGUGUUACCUGUUUGAGCUAGACAAUGUGACUGCUAAAUUACAGGUACUGUGACUCAUACCAAUAACACUGUUGUGUAAUAUCAUGCUUGUGUUCUCAUCUUUGCUUAUUUAAUAAUGGCAUGAGGUGCAUAGAUAAAUCAGUCAUCUUGUUUAGCUGAGUCCCUGAUGCUAAAAGGACAAGGUGAUCUUCAAAUUCUGUUUUCAGUGUGAUCAUGUUGCUGUCUCCUCCACAUUCUUCAGUAGCAUCUGGGUACUGACUUUUCAAUGAUGUGUCUUAAGAUGGAUCUAUUGCUAUUCAUAGGACUGGGAACAUGGUCACAUGGAGAAAACUGAGGACCAGCGAAGUGGCCUGCAGAAGUAACAAACUCCUUAACAAGUGCUAUGGCACCAGCUCAUCAGAAUGGACACUGGCUUUAAUGACUUUUGCAUUUCUGAAACCAGAUGACUUCACUGGAUGACUCCACUGAGACCCAAGACUCAAGACCCGACCAGUCCUGUGGCCCUCACGUCUACACAGUAUGUGUGAGGUUCAAUCUGACUAUCCAUCCUUUAUGGAAAUGCUACAUUACACAUUAACUCAAAGGCUGAGAAUCCAUUAAGUCAAGGACAGCUGGAUUGAUAAAGGGGACUGAGCAUGCCUGUCUUAUCCAGGCACCCGGUAAACAAGCCAGGCUCCAGUGCGGGUCCCCUGUGUUCCAUGGCUAUACAUCUCAUGUUUAUAUGCUUUAAAAAAGACAAAUACGUCUAUCUAUACUGGCAAGAUGCAAAGGCCUGCCAGGGAUUUUUCUAUGAGGCCCUAAACCAUGGUCUCUGCCAACAACUCCUCCAUCUCCCCAUGGCUCUCAAGAAAUAGAACUGCUCCAUCCUGAAGAUCCCUUGGAGCCUGUUGAGUUUUGUGGAAAAGAAAAUCACAUAAAGUUUUCUCCGUGACACACCUAGCAAGGCAUUUUCAAGUCCAAUUUAUUUACACAGGCCUAGCAGUACCCUGGAGAAUGCAUAUUUUCAUAUUUUCUCCCACUGUAUUGAACCCAUGCUUUGUAGCAGAUGUCAUAGAGCUGAUAUCGCAGAUAGCCAAGCUUUGCUGUAGAAGCAUGUGAAAAGACAGACAUCCAAAGAAACAUUGCAAAUGUGUACUACAUUAUCAAACUCUCCAAAUUUAGGCUUAUUCCUAGAAUACAAAUAUUUCUCAACCCAGCAGGCAGCCAGGUGCCCGCAAAUCCUGAAAUUAUAAAAACUUUGGCCAAGUUGAUUUACUUCUGCGGUCUCUUGUUGAAAAAUGUGUUGAUUCACAUUAAUGGCUUGAUGAAGGGGGGACUGGAGGACUAGAGGUAUCAGGGUGAAUAGGACUUGAUGGGUUUUGCUCUGUAAUCAGAGUGUCACUCAAUCAGAGUGUGUGGCAAUUGAGUGAGUGGCACAAUUAGCAUCUUAUUAUGGUGUUUGCUUUCUUCUCUUUUUAUACGGCAUAAUUUGGUACUUUAUUAUACCAUUUCACAUUCGUUAGCACCUCAUGUAGCACUCAUUCAUUUGGAAGUCAUUUCUCAGAAAAAUUCUGAAAGAUAAAACUCCUGCUGAGAAAGAAGUACCUACAAAAAUCCCCUCAAGUCCUCACUCAUAGCUGCAUAUUCUAACUUUAUGCAAAAGCUACCAAGUUUGCUUUACCUGUCUGCAGCAGGUCAGAACUAGCAAAAUGAAAAAAUCUAGAAUGUGUUAUAUAAAGCUAGUGAAAAAAGGCAGAUUGAGAGUACCAAAAUAACAGCUGGAAGUGUGAGAAGAGAAAAAUAAGUAACAAAACUCAGGCUGAAGAACUUCAAAGGUAUAACAUUUUUCUCAGGUUGCAUUCUCAAGAAACAGAUUCUAAAGUACGGAUUUGACUAAUUUAUCAAAGAAGUGCUCCCUGGAGAAAUGAGCAAGGGAGUGGGGAGGCACAACAAGGAGGCUAAGAAACCAAGCAAAGUUGUGAUUUUUAGGUAAAAUUCCAGCCUAGGCUUACCCUGAUUGAAAUUGUGUAGAAUAUAUUGCAUCUCAGAGUUUGUCUUAAGGCAAGGAAUAUGGGCUGUUUUGUGUUCCUUUAUUAGUCAUUCAUUGGCUUGGGGCCAUGGGGAGGUUGGUGCAGGGGAAUAUACCCCAUGUUGCAGGAGUCUGGCAAAUAGAAACAAACAAACAAACAAACAAAAUAAAAGUUAACUAAAAACAAAAACAUAAAUUGAUUUGGCCAAUAAUACAUUUGGCUAUUAAUGACAAGGACCAUGAGUGGAUAGAGACCCAGUUAUCAAAAGCCUAAUACAUUUUCAGAUACUAAAUGAUAUGUUUUACUUAAAUUUCUGAUACAUCAAGUUGCAGGUACAUAAUUUUUUUCUAAUAGCUUAUGCAUACAUCAAAGUGAGUGAUUAUUCUUAAAACCGCCUAUGCAUUUAAAAUGUGUCAAUAUGUUGAUGUUAUAUUUUUCCAGAGAAAAGAAAUAUAGUAAAGACAUACUUAUAAAUGCUUUAGUUUAUGUAUUUUUUUAUUCUAAGAAGCUAUUCAGAGAAAUAAAAGUCUUCCUUUUCUAACAUAUUUGUUAGUAUUUUCAGAAAAAUCCAUAUUUAGAUUUCUGAAGGCAAUGCUGUAUCUCCAUACAGAAGGCUGAAUGACAAUUUAAAAACAAGCCCUAAUCCCUAGUGACUGUACAUCUGUGUCACAAAACAAUCGCAUAAUCUGGCAUGAUUAAAAGGUUUGCUGUUCAGAGCUCAACAGCUGAAAGCCAAAUAUGGCAAAGUAUGAUCUAGUUUUCUGCUUCAUAAAUGCAAAUAAAGACUGGCACAUAGAGUAUAGAAAGCAGUUGUUCUUAUACAAUUUAGGUCCAGCACACUUUUGGAUAAAGAAGAUGUCCAAUAGAAAACAAAUCCUUUGAAAACAAAGCUAGACACUCAAGUUUUCUGGCUUACACUAUUGAGCCAAAGUUUCUGCUUUUACAAGUAUGUGUUUAAAAUGAAAAUACAGGAUGACAUGUGUUUUGAUAAUCUGUAGAAGGACUUUAAACACCCUGAUCCUCUACAGCAAGUUCACAAUAAAAGUCUGUACAGAAUUAGGAAAACCAAUGACUUGUAUUUUAAAUAAUCAUUCAGUAAUAAUGUAGACAUUUUCCUGCUUGUAGAUACUAUGCAGAAAGUAUUGUUAUCUUUGUCUGUCUAGUACUGAGCCAUAAUCCCUGGUACACAGUAGGCACUCAAUAAAUAUUUUUGAUUGAAUGGAUGACUAUAGACUGAAUGGAUCAAGAAAUAGACAAACAUGAAUUAAUUUUCAAAAAAAAGUUGGGAAUCAUAGUGGUUUCUGAACUGAUGUCUGCAGAAUAUUCUAAAUUGUAGCCACAUUAAUGUAAAUAACCCACCAGACCAAGGAGGAAAUAUAUAUUAGCAUGUCAAUAUUUUUAAAAGAUACAAUUUAUAUUGCCAUAUUUGUGAGGCACCUGAUUAUAAAUCUUGCAUUCUCUUCCAGAGCUGUCUCCUUUGGGAAAAAUGAAAGAGGAAAUCACAUUAAGAAUAAAAUUGUCAUCACAAGAUUCAUUUUAUUAACCCAGUAUUUCCUUACUUGCUGCAAAUAUGCUGGCGAUUUUGGAUCAGACAAUCCAGGACAGUGUUAUUUGAAUUUAUUCUUUGGCAUAGUUCCUAGUGUUUUUGAUGUAACCCAGCAAUAUCUCCAACAGCAAAGCUGCAGAAUUCUGCUGUCCAUUUUUAUUGAAGUAUUGAAUGUAAUUGAGACUCGUCUGCUUAGACUCACCCAUGUAUACUAGGGCUUUGGUUUUGAUAAACAUUGUUUCUUCUGUUUUCUCUACUUCAGUGUUUUACUCUUUUAAUCUUCUUUUUCUUGAAUUUUAGCCUUCGAGUUUUUCUUCCGCAGAUUUUCAUUUCUGAAUAUUAAACCAUGCAAAUUCUCUAUGGCCUUUUACAGUAUGACUUUCUAUAUAUGCCUUAAUUCCAGGUGGCAGGACAGACCAUUUAACAAUGUGCUACCCAAACUCACUGUGGUGAUACGCAAACUCACUGUAGUUUGUGCAAAGUCCUACAGUUCAAAAUGCAUACCCAGGCACUACAGUGUUAGGCAAUAGUAAAAAACUAAAUGCCCCAAAAGAAGGCAUGUAAAGAUAGAAAGUGCCCACAUAAUCCUCAAAUUCAAAAACACCUUAUAAAUUAACUGUGUCCAAAGACUUUGGUUUUUAUGACUUAGGGAAGCCUAAUCUUUGCUCAUAUGAGCCCUUGUUCAAUUUGGAUUGUCUUUUAGAAAGACGAGUCUACUGAAGCAGGGCAAAAUGUCACUUUAUUUUAAAUUAAGAUUAGAAACAAUGACAUUUAAUUAUCAUAAUCAUGUGUUUUUCAGUAGAUAAUUAUAAAAGACACCACGGUUUAACAUUUAGCUUGUUUCCAAAAGAGGAAAAAGGGUGGGAAGUAUUUUUAUUUAACAAUGAGAGUAUUUAGAGGCAAAUGAUUUUAUCUGAAAUUUACUAUUGUUAACUGUUGUACUGUUUGCUGUAAAUUAAUCUGAAGUAAGUAUCCAUAGAAAAAUGUCUCUUUGAAAUAAGCAUUUCUAAAAUCCUUGAAUAUAUCUAGUUUGGCAAGUAUGUAAUUAUAUAACACACAUGUCAUAUUUACAAUUGAAAUGGGGCAAAAUUGUACAUAUAGAGAGACCUAAUAUGUGAGAAUGAGGAAAGGUAUUAACUUUUUAGUAGUAUCAGAUGCCACUUGAGCACUUUCUACAUGUGCAAGACACUGUGCUAAGUACUCUUGCAAACAUGCAGGUAAGCACUAUUUUUAUUUGCAUUUUAUAUACCAGAGAAUUGAUACAUGGAUAUGCUAAAUAAGGAGUGGAAUUAGGGAUUCAGACUGAGGAAUAGCUAAAUCUGAAGCCAAGUUCUUAGCCACUAAACUUGUACUCUACAGUAUGAUUACUAUUCAUACGUAGUUAUUGAGAAAUAGAAAUGUGUCUAGUUUAAAUUUAGAAAAACUAUAAAUAUAAAAUGCACAAUGUUUUUCAUUAGUAUUAGAAAAUAAAUACCUCAAUAAUUUUAUAUUGAUCACAUGUUGAGAUAUUUGGCCUACAACAGUUGAAAUAAAAUAUAUUAUUUAAAUUAAUUUUAUCUGUUUCUUUUUUCUUUUCAUUGUGGUUACUAGAAAUUUUAAAUCACAUAUGGGGUUCUCAUCUGUUGUUUCACUUUAUUUCUACUGGACCGUAUUUCACUACACUGUAUAGCCUCCAUCUCUGACAAGUUAGGGGAGAGACUCUGAAAUGUUAAUUCCCUGCUUAGUUUGUCUUUUCCUCUUAUUUAUUUCUUGUUUCUCUCUCAUGACAGACUUUAUUUUCUUCAUUUUAAUGUAACUAUUUAUAUAAAUAUUGUAUAUCUCUCACUAAAAUGUAAGUUCCUGGAAGUCAGGCCUCCGAGUUCUCAUCUUGUAACACCAAGUAACAAGGGAAGGCUUUUAAGGCAAAUAACAAUCUCAAGCGUUUUAGCCUAAGUUAAGCUUCUUCUUCUUCCUCACAAGCUGUCUUCUCAUUACACAGAAUGGAGUCAGGAAUGUCUCCAUCAGGACUGCUCAGGGGUGUGCAAACUGCAGCUUGUGGCCAAAUCCAACCUAGCACCUGCUUUUAUAAAUAAAGUUUUAUGGAAACACAGCCACAUCCACUCAUUUAGUACUGUCUAUAGGCUAGCUGGGAUACAAUAGCAGAGCUCCAUAGUUGCUACAAAGUCCUAUGGUCGUCAAAUCCGAAAUAUUCACCACCUGGCCCUUUAGGGAAAAUCUUUGCCAUUUCUCAGGUAGCUUAUGCUAUCAGAGUCGAUUCUUUCUUUUUGCGCCUUCCAUCUCAAGUAUCAAUUACACUAUAGUGACAUUAGAAUCUCAUGAAAUAACAAACAUUUUUCACAUUGUGUUUCAAGGAUGCUUACAUUUUAAUAACCACUUGUAGAAUAAAAACCCAGGAUCCCUUUGUGACUAUUUCUCUCAGUUAAAAUAGUGGGUCUGAGAAGAUGUUUUGAUAUGUCUGCUACCGUGACAACAUAAAUAGGGACCAUCUUUUAAAGUUUAUUGCCAUCUGAGGCCCCUUGAUUUCAGGAUUUCAAGACUUACAAUGGGCACAUCUAAAACAGCUACUAUAAUACUUUUAAUGUCAGAAAAGUCACUGUGAAAAUAAAGAAAUAAAAGAUGUCUACCUGCUGGUGAGUGAGCUCUUUAAAUGACUUUACUGGAGAAUAAAUGACUUUACUGGAGACUCUACUGGAGAAUAAAUGACUUUACUGGAGAGACUUUACUGGUGAGGAAAGUAAUAUAGAUAUAAUACCACUAUUCCUGUGACCUAUCAAUACAAGCUAUUUUACACUUUUUAACUAUGCCAAGUGGGUCAUUUAAGGAUAAUACAGACUGAGGGAAAUUCUCAUUUUGUUUGAAGGAAUUUGUUUGUCUUGAUACAAUCAAUUGACCUUAACUUUCCUAGAUGUGGAAAAUGAGGUAAAAUUUGUUACUCUUAAACAAGAUAUAUUGUUCAGCAAGACUAGAAUGAAAGGAUACCAAAACAUUUACUCUUUACUGAUGCUUCCACAACUAGCUAUUGUCAACAUUUCCAAUAUCAUCCUUACAGUGAAAACCACUAUGACAAGUACUGUGCAUGCAAUUAUGUAAAAUUGAAUCAUAAAACGAGUUAGUGGAAUAGGAGGAUUAUAUAAAUGUUCAAAUAUUUUUAUCAAAUUGUACAAUUAACUAGUUUGUUCUGACAAGUGUUCUUACAAAAAACAAAAUAUUAAUUGGCAUAUUUCAUAUAAACAUAUUUACAUUUCAUUUAUUAGGAGCCCCUUAUUUGUUCCAGUGAAUAAUUAGAAUACAUUUACAGCAAAUCAAUUGAAACAUUCAGUAACGUCUUUAAAAUAUCCGAAGGAAAUGUGGGAAAUACCUGUCUUGGUAUUCUGAGAUUGCAAGGAACUGUCUUAUAAAACAAUGCUUCUCAAAGAGGACUAAGUACACAAUGAUCCAUUGGUGACCAGAAAGAAAAACACUAAACCUUGAUUUAAAAAGCAAGUCAAUUAUUAAACCUUAGUAAUGUUGAAAGAUUGAUUGAUACUGACACCUUCAUUGAGUCCUAAAAGUCACUGAUCAAAAGAAGUCACCAUGAAGAAAAAAGGGAAUUGUACAAUGUGGAGGUUUUGACAGUGGCAUUCUCAUUCAUAUAUUGGUUUUAUCAUGUUGGAAUAUACAGGAGUUUAUAUUUUUUCCUAUUCAUAUUUUUUCCUACUCACAGAAGCUAGAAUGUAUUUCACAAAUGCUAAAAAUAGAACUCACACUAACUUGAGCAAAAUAGUAGACAUCAUUUGCUUACUAAUGAAGAAAUUUAAGCCUGAAACUGCCUUGACUCCAAAGUAUGCCAUAGAACUUUCACUCUGUUUCUACAUUUUCAGGUCUAGCUUGUCAGUUGCUCUUAUUCUCUCAUGCUAUAGAUAAGAGUUUCUUCACGUGAUCAGAAAGAUGACCACCAGCCAGCCUGCCUUUCACCUUACAGCUAACCAAUUCUAAAGAAAAAGAGACCAAAAAUUCCCCAUCUUUCAUGUGUCAAAUCUGAUUGAAAUACCCUUACUAAUCCUAGUUGGUCAUGGGUCAAUUCCUUAUAGCAAUCACUAUGGGUGGGUAGAGGGGUGGAACAAUGUGAUGGGCCAACUUAUGUAUCAAGUAACCAAAUCAGAACCACAGAGUAGGAGAAGAACCAUUCCUCAAAGAAAGUGGAGUUCCAGAAACAACAAACAACUGGUGCUGCCUAGAAAUCUUAGAAGAUAUGAAAAUAAAAUAUCCCAGUUGCAUUACAGCAUGCAUGUUAAGAAAUCAUAAUGUAAAACAAAUUAAUGGUUUGCAUAUGUUUCCAAUUUAUGAUCUAAUCUGGACACUCAUCAAAUUAGAAAUAUUGCAGUAGGGAUUUCCAUAUACCAACUGCUGAAGUAAUACUGUUUUCACAGAUUACACUUUUUAAUUACAUUCUGUAGAAAGAUAAAAAAAAAAAAACUUAGUACUAUCUUUCUUAUAUUCUCAUUCUAUGGAUUGAUUGGGGAUAUUCUAACACUUUCCCUAAAAUUAUUUUUAAGAUACUUUAUUUUAGAACACACUGACAUGGUAAGGCUCUUUAUAAUAAUGAAUCUUUUAUUAAAAAUAAAUUUCUUUUCUGGAAUGGACAUUAUUUUUCAAAAAAAAAGAAUGAAGAGUUUGAACUUAAGAUUGAAUGCAUUCUACACAAUCUCUACAGUCUCUUCCAAUUCUUAACACUUCUCUUUCUAAAACUGUUUUCUAAAAUAUUUCAUUACAUAAACCCCCUGGAAGGCCUUCUUUGCAUGCAUUCAUACCGGUUAUUAUGUGCAUAAAUAGCAGAAGGUUCUGCUUUUUAAAACAGAAAAAUGGAGAACUAGGUUUGUUGAAGUUUAAUAGCUGUUUUUGGUCCGCGCAAAUUUUCAAUAUCUUGGUGAGCUGCUUCUUAGAUUAAAAGAUCUAGUAUUAUUGUAGGGUAGGUCUUUUCCAAAAUGAAACAUCAUUUGUUCUACAUUCCUUAAGCUAAAACUAACUGUAUCAUUUUAGCUAGAGAGAAGCAUGCUUCACAGGUAACUUUUCCUUCGAACCAUGGAUGUAGUUCAGAUUUCGUUUAUAUUAUUCCUUGCUUUUUACAAGUGUAAAAAGCUAUGAAAACUUAGAUGGUUACUUAGCAUAUUCAUUUUAUAGUUUGUGUUAUUUAAUUGAGUUCAUUUGUACAUUCCUGUCUUUUAAAAAGUGGGAGAUAUAUAUUUUGCUCUUCACUUUGGUUUUUGGGUGGAUUUUGAUAAAACAUUUGGGGCAGAAAAAUGUUCUUGAAAUAGUUACAUAGCUUCAAGGCUAUUUCAAAAUUCAAUACAAUCAGAUAUGUCCAUAUACCUAAAACAUUAUUUUUACUUUUGUGAAAUCUAGAACAUAUGCAUCAGCCAUCUAAAGACAAUAUUUGAAAAUCCAGUAUGGAUUAAUGAGCUAAAGAGUUUUUUUUUUUUUUUUACAAAACUAUAAAAAUAUUCGAGGAAAGUAAAACAAUGUUUAUUUUAGAAUCUUUGGUUAGGUAUGUCCUUUCUAGCAAGGAUGCAAAAUAUAUCAUUAUAAAAUAUCGAAACAGUUCAUAAUAAUAUGGUGGGUGAAAACACACUUCAAACAAUGUUCUAACAUAUGUGAUAGCUGGAGAAAAUUUUCAGCUCAGCAAUAAGUCAAAUCAUAUAUAAACGGUUCAUAUGAAUCAAUAAUAAAAAGCAAACUUCCCCAAGACUUCUAGUUGAAAAAAAGUAUAUAGGUAAGCAAUUCAUGAAAGCAAAAAUACAAAUAACCAAUAAACAUUAGAAAAGUUAUUGAAUCUUCUUUUAAAUCAGAAAAAAAUAACAAAAUGCAAUGCUAUCUUCACAUAAGAUUAAAUAAUAAAAUAUAGAUAUACACAAUGCAGAGAUCAGAUAAUGUCUUACUUCAUUUUGAGAUAAGAUAAUGAACAAUCUCAUACAUUGAUUACAGGAAUGUAACUUAGAAAAGUCUUUGAAGCACAAUUUUGUCUGUCACAAUGUCAGGUGCACAUUCUUUCAACCAAUUAUUUGUCAUAGAUAGUUAUCUUAAAAUUUUUGCACAUAUGAGUGUUUCUUAUGGCGUACCUUAAAUUAGCGAACACAAAACCCUAGGAAAAUUCUAAAAGUCCUUCAAUAUGAAAAUGACUAAAUAAAGCAAAAUAUGUCUGCAUAAAAUACGUGGCACCUAUGAGAAGAUUGCUUUAUAUCCAUCUACUUGUCAUUGAAAGACAUAUUAUCAUGUAUUGUUAAAUGAAAAUAGCAAAAUGCAGAAUAACAUAUUAUUUUUAUAAUGCCCUUUAAAUAGAUCUGGAAGGACACAUACCCAACUGUUAAUAGUGGUUACCCCAUUGGAAGGUAGAGACAGAGGCAGAGAAAAAAACUUCUGUUUAUAUGACAUGAUUCUCCAAUAGUUUGAAUUUUUUUAAAACAAACCUGUUUUACUUUUGAA
rnacentral:lncRNA from 1 species